UUCAGUGCAGAUGCAGACUGGGAAAGAGUUCAACUGACAAGAUGUCACUGCUGCUAGAUGCAUAUAGGUUCUAGUUCUGCAAAACAGGCACAUCCGCAACUGAGCGACCUUUCAGCUUUGGCCCAGCCACUUCAUCAGGAGGAGGAGCCAAAGGAAGGGCCAGGCAGCCCCCCCCCGGAGGAGGAAGGCCCCUCAGAGAUAC